rnacentral:rRNA from 1 species
CCUACGGGGUGCAGCAGUGGGGAAUAUUGGACAAUGGGCGAAAGCCUGAUCCAGCCAUGCCGCGUGUGUGAAGAAGGCCUUCGGGUUGUAAAGCACUUUCAGUGGGGAAGAAAGCCUUGGGGCUAAUACCCUCGAGGAAGGACAUCACCCACAGAAGAAGCACCGGCUAACUCUGUGCCAGCAGCCGCGGUAAUACGGAGGGUGCGAGCGUUAAUCGGAAUUACUGGGCGUAAAGCGCGCGUAGGCGGUCUGAUAAGCCGGUUGUGAAAGCCCCGGGCUCAACCUGGGAACGGCAUCCGGAACUGUCAGGCUAGAGUGCAGGAGAGGAAGGUAGAAUUCCCGGUGUAGCGGUGAAAUGCGUAGAGAUCGGGAGGAAUACCAGUGGCGAAGGCGGCCUUCUGGACUGACACUGACGCUGAGGUGCGAAAGCGUGGGUAGCAAACAGGAUUAGAUACCCUAGUAGUC